rnacentral:tRNA from 1 species
UAGCUCAGAGGGUAAAGCAUCUGCCUGAAAUGCAGGAGACUCAGGUUCAAUCCCUGG